AUGUAUAUUAUAGAAUUGCCGCCUCAUCCCAUAUGGGUUCCAUCUUCUCAUUCUCCUCCUCCUCAUAAAAAGACUGCUAUCUCUUCCCUCAAGUCUAGUGCUUUUCUUUCCCCCACUGUGGUUUCUGCAAAACGAACACCCACAAUUAGACCACUGAUCCCCUCAGUCACAGAAAAUUCAUUUUCUGAAACCUUCUCCACAUCUUCCACUGCAAAUCCUCUCUCUGAAACUUUUUCCACUGCAACUUCUUCCACUACUGAUACCACUACAUAUUCCUCUACUGAGUCUUUUGCUCAGCAAAUCAUGGCUACUUUCCCUCCAUAACUUUUAAUAAAUCUGUCACUACAAUUCUCUCUUCCACACCUGCAACAAAAUCUAUUUCUAAUGUAGCUCUCUCAAUUAAAUCUGAUGCUACGUACAUUAGCAAGCCUAUCACAAUAAUUUCUCCUGCUGUAAAUUUCACUAAACCUUCUGCAGUUUCCCCUUCUGAGCUUCCUCCCAAACUUCCAAUAGCAAUUCCACCUUUUGAAACUACCACCAGCUCUGUUGCACAAAUUCCUCUUGCUACAGGUUCAACCCAACCUAUUUCUGAUAACAGAAACAUUACUACAGCACCUAUUCUUCCCCUUACUCCUUUCUCAAUAACCCCUACUGUUAGUUCUGUCAAACAUUCUGUCUCAGCAUCUCAUCCUCCUUCUACUGCUGAUGGCCAUGGUAGCCUGCCUAAUGGAAGCACAGGUAAACAUGACAAAUAAAAAAUAUCUUUUAAUUUGAAUUCCAUAUACUGAAUUUGCUUUCAGUUUUUUAAACCAGAUUUUGGUUGUGUCUAAGCUAUCAUCUUCUAAUUACCAUGACAGCCUGACACAACUUUCAAAAUCUCUAUACUCAUUUUAGAAUAUGUUCUGAAUGCCUCUGGCUAUGAUGAGUGGUACCUCACGCUGCAGUAUUUUGUUAACUGUAGUAGUUAGGUUUUCGGGUUUUCUUCUGAUUUCCUUCUUUUUGCAGGCACCCAGUUGCUAAAAAUUCUAAAUAAUAGAUUAUUUAGCAUCACUUACGGUUCUUUCAUAAUGAAUAUAAAGUAUAGUCAAUGCUGACUAUUUGAAACCUCGCUCUAUAUUUUCUGAAGACUCUUAAGUAUUGCUAUCUGCAAAGUAGCUGUUAGGGAGAAAAAAGGCUCCGUUUCAUGUAACAUGCUUGUAUUUGUGGUAAGCUUUUUCAUUCAAGAGAACUGUUGUAAUUUUUCUGGUUACUUCAUUUCU
rnacentral:lncRNA from 1 species